AGAGUUUGAUCCUGGCUCAGAACGAACGUUGGCGGCGUGCUUAACACAUGCAAGUCGAACGAGAAAGUUUUCUUCGGAGAACGAGUAAAGUGGCGCACGGGUGAGUAACGCGUAAGUAAUCUACCCUCGCAUCUGGAAUAACUACGGGAAGCUGUAGCUAAUACCGGAUACGAUCUCCUUUUUACGGAUUGGAGAAGAAAGAUGGCCUCUUCUUGAAAGCUAUCGUGCGGGGAGGAGCUUGCGUACCAUUAGCUGGUUGGUAGGGUAAUGGCCUACCAAGGCAACGAUGGUUAGCGGGUCUGAGAGGAUGAUCCGCCACACUGGAACUGGAACACGGACCAGACUCCUACGGGAGGCAGCAGUGAGGAAUAUUGCGCAAUGGGGGAAACCCUGACGCAGCGACGCCGCGUGGAUGAUGAAGGCCUUUGGGUCGUAAAAUCCUGUCAGGUGGGAAGAAAUGCAUAUGGGUUAAUAUCUCUUAUGUUUGACGGUACCACCAAAG
rnacentral:rRNA from 1 species